GGCCGGGGCAGCGUGAGCGGCCCGCGCUUACCCGCGGGAUCGCAGGUUUUGAAGGCAUGCCUGAAAGACAAACCUGGACACUUUUGAUGGAACAUUUUUCAUUUUCAACCAAUUUCCUCCCCCUCUCACUGACACAGGAAAAUGGGCCUCUAGAUGCUCUUCUCUGGGAGAGGCAAGUCCCCUGGAUGCUGCUCAAAGAGAUUUCACCCCUGGAGACCCUCCAGGGGGCUGCAUGGACAGGGCUGCCCCAGGUCUGGACCCUUCUGCCCUCCAUCUGCUGAACCCUACACUCUUGGCCAGACAACAUGAAGUCUCCAGUGUGGGUAGUUCACCCCGGUGGACUGAGUACGAUCUCACUUUUCAGAUGUUUUGGACAGAAGGACCCUUUUUCUGCUCACACAGAUGAUAAUUAUGUUUUGGGAGUAACACAGCAGUUCAGAGCAGAGGGGCGUGGGGUAGGUGUAGAUUGGCUGUAAGCGUAGUGUUGGUAUGGGUGGUCUGCUUUCACUCACCAUUGCCCCUCUCCACCUUGGGCACUGGGGUCAGCCCCAGGACCUGAGGGAUUUGACAGUGUAGGUAACCCAUGAGCAUGCUUUGACUCGGAGAGGGGGAUAAAUGGAGUCAUCACAGAUCAUAAGAUCACAGGGAAAUUCAGGUUGCAAGCAACCUCAGGAGGUCUCUAGUCCAACCUCCUGUUCCAAGCAGGGUCAGCUGUGAGACCACAGCAGGUUAUGGCCUAGAAAUAAAAAUAGUGUUGCAAAGAAGGAUUAUGUAAAGACCAAACACAUUUUGCAGAACAAGAGGAACAAGGCAAGAAAAAAAAAAAAAGAUGAUAAUUUGAUAUUCUUGAACACCUACUUCAUAGAAUCAGAAUCAUGGAAUGGUUUGGUUUGGAAUGGACCUUAGAGAUCAUCUAGUUCCAACCCCCCUGCCACGGGCAGGGACACCUUCCACUAAACCAGGUUGCUCAGAGCCCCGUCCAACCUGGCCUUGAACACUGCCAGGGAGGGGGCAGCCACAACUUCUCUGGGAAACCUGUUCCAGUGCCUCACCACCCUCACAGUGAAGAGCUGCUUCUUUACAUCUAAUCUAAAUCUGCCCUCUUUCGGUUUAAAACUAUUACCCCUUGUGCUAUCACUACACGCCCUUGUAAAAAGUCCCUCCCCAUCUUUCCUGUAGCCCCCUUUAAGUACUGGAAGGCCGCUAUAAGGUCUCCCUAGAGCCUUCUUUUCUCCAGGCUGAACAGCCCCAACUCUCUCAGCCUGUCCUCAUAGGGGAGAUGCUCCAGCCCCCUGAUCAUCUUUGUGGCCUCCUCUGGACCUGCCCCAGCAGGUCCAUGUCCUUCUUACGUUGGGGACCCCAGAGCUGGACACAGCACGGCAGGUGGGGUCUCUUGAGAGCAGAGUAGAAGGGGAGAAUCACCUUCCUUGACCUGCUGGUCAUGCUUCAUUCCCAUUUUUACCAUGAUUCAUUUGUUUAUUUUUUCUAUAUAGAUUUUAGGCUUCUGGUUUGUGUAUUAAAUUGGUCUGUAAAUUACCUAGAACAUCUUCAGGCAUAAAAUAAAGAAUUUAUAGGAAUAUUAAAAUCAACCAAUGUAUAAAGAAAUGUGAUAUGCUAUUUCUUUAUAGUCUAAAAUAAUUAUUUAUCCCCAAUGAAAGUCAGCCUUCACUGGAGAGAAAAAUAACCUCAGUUUAUUGUUCUUUGGGUUUGAAUAGAAAGUCUCUAUUAUUUUAGUACCAGCUGAACUUAGAGAGAGACCUGUAAUGUAAGCCUAAUAUAAGUCAUUUGUUGUUAUUAAAAGUUAAAGAGUAACUGCAGAUAGUAAUUACAAAAUUACUUUAAAUUUCUCCUUAGAAAAUGGCCUCCAUUACUACAUUCACUGCCCGCCCCCCAAAUCUCACCCCUAACAAAACCACUUUUAAAAUAUUUUACUGAUGAAACUGUAUUUUUUUUCCUUUCACAUCACAAGAAAAUGUUUAAUUAUUCCAUUGACCUAUUCAGGAUCUGUGUCUAACAUCUUAGGAAAGUGAAGAAAAUACAAAUUAAAACACAAACUCAAGUCAUACAGUAUGUUGUAGAAAAAAA
rnacentral:lncRNA from 1 species